rnacentral:rRNA from 1 species
AGAGUUUGAUCCUGGCUCAGGAUGAACGCUGACAGAAUGCUUAACACAUGCAAGUCAACUUGAAUUGGGUUUUAACUUAGAUUUGGGUGGCGGACGGGUGAGUAACGCGUAAAGAACUUGCCUCACAGCUAGGGACAACAUUUAGAAAUGAAUGCUAAUACCUGAUAUUAUGAUUUUAAGGCAUCUUAGAAUUAUGAAAGCUAUAAGCACUGUGAGAGAGCUUUGCGUCCCAUUAGCUAGUUGGAGAGGUAACAGCUCACCAAGGCGAUGAUGGGUAGCCGGCCUGAGAGGGUGAACGGCCACAAGGGGACUGAGACACGGCCCUUACUCCUACGGGAGGCAGCAGUGGGGAAUAUUGGACAAUGGACCGAGAGUCUGAUCCAGCAAUUCUGUGUGCACGAUGAAGUUUUUCGGAAUGUAAAGUGCUUUCAGUUGGGAAGAAAGAAAUGACGGUACCAACAGAAGAAGUGACGGCUAAAUACGUG